CAAAUUAUGUUAGCAGUGCUAGACACUGCUGCACAUGGAUGGGAGCUAGGGGAGAGGAAGAACAGGAGCAGUGCUUUGAAUCAGCUAGAACUGAUUGCAUGUAGAGCUAUCAGGACUUUCCCAGUGUCUACAGAUGUGCAGCAAACCAAAUCACCAGAAUAUGAUUAUUUUUGUCCUAUCCAAGUUUAUCAUUUGAGAAAACAAAGGAGAAGAAGAACAGAAAUGUUAAGGUCACAGUUUUAACAUCUAAGAUCAUCAGCUCAUGGUGAUGAAAGUUGACAAAUUCAGAUUUAAAAAAAAAAAAAGUCACAAGCUGCACAACAAGGACUUUCUGACAACAACUUUCUGACCUUUGUUUGGGGUUCAUGGAACAAUGCCCCCUUCCCUCCUGUGCAGGGCAGGAGCUCUGUAGCUGUAGUGGAAAGUCUAUCCCUCACCUCAGAAAAAGAGAAGCUAAGUGAAACAAUAGCUAUUCACCUCAAAAUACUUGAAAUAGUGCUUUUAAGUGUCAAAAGAAAAAGAAUCUGCAGAAGAUAAGAGAAGAUACAAACACUGAAUAUAUCAGUCACAGUGUACAGUCAAGACUACAUGCUUGUUCAGAGAACCACUUUGAAUGGAAAACAAGGAUGUAAUUGUAUACUACAUUACUGUUACUGAGCUGGAUGUCCUACAUGUAUGUACAGAUAUCUGAAACAUACCUGAUUUCUUGAUGUCUGUGAUGCCUUCCUUUCUCCCUUUAUUUUUCCUUUUAAGUUUGUUCUUUCACAGUUGAUUUAAUUUUCAUAAUCUGUAUUACAUUUCUGAUUCUAUGUUCAUCUGCAGGUUUUUCCUGGUUUCUCCUAGUUAAUUUUUCAGAUGUUCUGCAUUCAGCUGUCUUAGGAAAGAAUGGAGAAGUUGCAUCUCCCAUGAGCCAGUAAACAGAACACUAAUAGCUGUCUCAGGCAAAACUGCAUGUUCCAUAUUUUCACCCAGAAUAACAAUUUUACACUCACUGCUCCACUUAAAGCUAUAUCAUUGAGACAGAUCUGACAUCUGUCCAGCAAAAAAAAAGCCCAAACUUACAACAACAAGAAGACGCAUAGCACAACUUUCCUUAAUAUUAAUAAGUUUAGCAUCCUAGGAGUGCACAAAGCACCUGUCUCUGGGCAUAUGGUUACAGUGUACUGUUACCCUGGAGUGCAAUGAUGAGUGGGUAGGGAGGAAAGCCAGACAAAGCUCUGGGCAAAAGAGCUAGAAUAAUGUAGAAAUAAAGACGGGGGUGGGGAACUGUAAAAAUGCUUG
rnacentral:lncRNA from 1 species